CACAAGAACUUCCAAACGCCUGAACCACAGCUGCCAAGGGUUACUCCGGAAAUCUGGCCACUGGGCCAAGGAAUGCCCACAGCCCGGGAUUCCCCCUAAGCCGUGUCCCGUCUGUGCGGGACCCCACUGAAAAUCGGACUGUUCAACUCACCUGGCAGCCGCUUCCAGAUCCCCUGGAACUCUGGCCCAAGGCUCUCUGAGUGACUCCUUCCCAGAUCUUCUUGGCUUAGCAGCUGAAGACUGACACUGCCCAAUCGCCUUGGAAGCCUACAGGACAAUCACAGAUGCUCUGGGUCACUCUCACAGUGGAGGGGACGUGAGUGAAAAUGGUACAGCUCAGGCCAUGGAUUCAGAGGGUGCAAGCCCCAAGCCUGGGCAGCUUCCAUGUGGUGUUGAGCUUGCAGGUACACAGAAGUCAGGAAUUGAGGUUUGGGAACCUCUGCCUAGAUUUCAGAGGAUGUAUGGAAAUGCCUGGACGUUCAGGCAGAAGUUUGCUGCAAAGGUGGUCCCUCAUGGAGAACCUCUGCUAGGGCAUUGCAGAAGGGAAAUGUGGGGUUGGAGUCCACACACAGAGUCCCAAAUGGGGAACUCCCUACUGGAGCUGUGAGAGAAGGCCCACUGUCCUUCAGACCCCAAAAUGGUAGGUCCACUGAUCCACCUGUAAAGGCCACAGACACUCAGUGCCAGCCAGCUAAGCAGCCAGGAAUGGGGCUGUACCCUUUGAAGCCACGCCACAGGGGCUGAGCUUCCCAAGGCUGUUGGAGUCCACCUCUUACAUCAGUGUGACGUGGAUGUGACACAUGGAGCCAAAAGAGAUCAUUUUGCAACUGUAAGGUUUGGUGAUGCCCUGUUGAAGUUUGGACUUUCAUGGGGCCUAUAGCCCCUUUGUUUUGGCCAACUUCUCCCAUUUGGAAUGGGCAUAUUUACCCAAUGCCUGUACCCCCAUUGUAUCUAAAAAGUAACUGACUUGCUUUCAGAUUUACAGGCUUAUAGGCAGAAGGGACUUGCCUUGUUUCAGAUGAGACUUUUGACUUGAACUUUGGGAUUAAUGCUGGAAUGAGCUAAGACUUUGGGGGACUGUUGAAAAGGCAUGAUUGUGUUUGUAAGGACAUGACAUUUAGGAGGGACCAGGGUUGGAAUGAUACGGUUUUGCUCUGUGUCCCCACUGAAAUCUCAUCUUGAUUUGUAAUUCCCAUAAUCCCCACAUAUCAUGGGAGGGAACUAGUGGGAGGUAAUUGAAUCCUGGGAGCAGUUCCCUCAUGCUGUUCAUGUGAUAGUGAGUGAGUUCGCACAAGAACUGAUGGUUUUAUAAGGGGCCUUUCCCCACUUCACUUGGCACUUCUCUUCCCUGCCACUAAGGGAGGAGACCACCCCUCAUAUUGUCUUAUGCCCAAUUUCUGCCUCCAAAGAAAGAAGUAAAAACUAAAAGGCAGAAAUGAAAUCCAUAGGCAGGCAGCCCGGCGCCACAUCCUGGGCCUGGUAGUUAAAGAUCGACCCCUGACCUAAUCGGUUAUGUUAUCUAUAGAGUACAGACGUUGUAUAGAAAAGCACUGUGAAAAAUCCCUGUCCUUUUCUGUUCUGUUUUAAUUACCAGUGCAUGCAGCCCCCAGUCACAUACCCCCUGCUUGCUCAAUCGAUCAUGACCCUCUCACGUGGACCGCCUUAGAGUUGUAAGCCCUUAAAAGGGACAGGAAUUGCUCACUCGGGGAGCUCAGUUUUUGGAGAUGUGAGUCUGCCUAUGCUCCCAGCUGAAUAAAGCCCUUCCUUCUACAA